ACGGAAGGCAGCAGUGGGGAAUAUUGGGCAAUGGGCGGAAGCCUGAUGCAGCGAUGCCGCGUGAGGGAAGAAGGUUUUCGGAUUGUAAACCUCUGUCCUCAGGGACGAUAAUGACGGUACCUGAGGAGGAAGCUCCGGCUAACUACGUGCCAGCAGCCGCGGUAAUACGUAGGGAGCGAGCGUUGUCCGGAAUUACUGGGUGUAAAGGGUGCGUAGGCGGGACGGCAAGUCAGAUGUGAAAUGUAUGGGCUUAACCCAUAACCUGCAUUUGAAACUGUUGUUCUUGAGUGAGGUAGAGGUAAGCGGAAUUCCUAGUGUAGCGGUGAAAUGCGUAGAUAUUAGGAGGAACAUCGGUGGCGAAGGCGGCUUACUGGGCCUUUACUGACGCUGAGGCACGAAAGCGUGGGGAGCAAACAGGAUUAGAUACCCUGGUA
rnacentral:rRNA from 1 species